rnacentral:rRNA from 1 species
AGUGAACGCUGGCGGUAGGCCUAACACAUGCCAGUCGAACGGCAGCACAGUAAGAGCUUGCUCUUACGGGUGGCGAGUGGCGGACGGGUGAGGAAUACAUCGGAAUCUACUUUUUCGGGGGGGAUAACGUAGGGAAACUUACGCUAAUACCGCAUACGACCUACGGGUGAAAGCAGUGGAUCUUCGGACCUUGCGCGAUUGAAUGAGCCGAUGUCGGAUUAGCUAGUUGGCGGGGUAAAGGCCCACCAAGGCGACGAUCCGUAGCUGGUCUGAGAGGAUGAUCAGCCACACUGGAACUGAGACACGGUCCAGACUCCUACGGGAGGCAGCAGUGGGGAAUAUUGGACAAUGGGCGCAAGCCUGAUCCAGCCAUACCGCGUGGGUGAAGAAGGCCUUCGGGUUGUAAAGCCCUUUUGUUGGGAAAGAAAAGCAGCAGGUUAAUCCCCCGCUGUUCUGACGGUACCCAAAGAAUAAGCACCGGCUAACUUCGUG